rnacentral:rRNA from 1 species
CAGUCGCCGCGGUAACACGAAGGGUGCAAGCGUUAAUCGGAAUUACUGGGCGUAAAGGGUGCGUAGGCGGUGAGUUAAGUCUGUUGUGAAAUCCCCGGGCUCAACCUGGGAAUGGCAAUGGAUACUGGCUCGCUAGAGUGUGAUAGAGGAUGGUGGAAUUCCCGGUGUAGCGGUGAAAUGCGUAGAGAUCGGGAGGAACAUCAGUGGCGAAGGCGGCCAUCUGGAUCAACACUGACGCUGAAGCACGAAAGCGUGGGGAGCAAACAGGAUUAGAGACCCGGGUAGUCCCUGUCUCUUAUAC